rnacentral:lncRNA from 1 species
AGACAAUGGUGGUGCUAGGUUACCAGUGGCGUGGAGCUCAGAGCUAAUGCAGAGCAGCUGGAGCAGUGCUGAGUUUCAAAACGUGUUGGAAAAAAUAUUAUAUGAAUGAUGCUAUUUUUUUCACUGAAUCACAUCAAGAAGCACAUGAUGUUAAGCUGUCUCAUCAUUGGUGGUGUUAACUUGGAUCGCUUGAUUAAGGAUUUGUACCAUUUUGCUUUCCCAUUAGCAAUGUGUAGGAAUGCCUGUUUCCCUGUAGCCUCCCCAACAGCUUGUGUUAUCAAGAUUUUGGAUAUUUAACAAACUUGAAGAGCCAGAUUACAAAUUACCCCACAUUUUCUUCUAAUGCAUGUGAUGGCAGCAGCGGCCAAAUAGAGUAGCUGCUGCAAAGGUGCUAGCUGCAGUGGGGUAUGCAUGACUGGGACGGCUAACUCCGCGGAGCUGGCAGGAGCUGGGAACAGGCGGGAGCUCCACCCCCUUCCAAGUGGGUGGGGCAUGAGCUUUGUGCUUCUGGGUGCAACUGCAGCUGCCCAGCCACGACUGCGGACCCAGGCAUCCCUGUGGUCUUGGGGGCCCAGGAAGUCUCCCUGCCCCCGCAGGCUCAGAAGGGCCUCCUCCUGCUGCCUGGCCUCUCUCCACUCCCAGCAUCCACUCUGAUUUUGGAGGAAAGUUGUGGCCGAGCUCGGGCUCUGUCACGACCCGGCUGGGUGUGCGCACACUCAAGGCAGCACUGACAUGCCAGCCCCUUGCCGCCUCGGCCCCACUCCGUAAUUGGGACACUGACAAACAUGGGAGGGAGGUCAAGAGGGGGCUGAGGGCGGCUUUGUGUGAGCCUGCAGGCACCCCUUGGCACGAACAGCCUGGGCACCAUGAAUGGCAGCAGUAGGCAGACAGGCUCCUGGGCAGAAAGGGGCACGUCCCUGGUGAAACCCCACCUUCAAGCCAGGGAGGGCCUGAAGCCUGGGGGCUGGGCUGCCAGUUGCACAGACCAGAGUGAGAACUUAUGGUGCUUUUUCUGGGCCCGCCCAUGGCCACCCGUAGACCAAUCAGCACACUCUUCCUCCCCUGUGAAACCCAUAAAAACCCUCAGAGUCACCCAGAAUUGGACAGAUGACAAGACAACCGGACUGCAGGGAGGAGCUACCCAUUCAAGGUCUCCUCUCCAAUGAGGGUUGCAGAGAUGUUGGGGCAAUUUGCCUGCAGAUAGGAGCUACCCACUUGGGAUCUCCUCUCUGCCGAGGACUACACACUUGAUGGGAUGACCUGCUUGUGGAGAAGAGCUACCCACUGUGGGUCUCCUCUCAGCUGAGGGUUGCACAGAUGCCCAGACCACAUGCCUGUGGAAAGGGGAUACCCACUUUGGGUCUCCUGAGAGCUGUACUGCCACUCAAUAAAGCACUGCUUCACCUUGCUCACCCUCCAGUUGUCUGCAUACCUCAUUUUUCCUGGAUAUGGGACAAGAACUUGGGACCAGACAGACAAAUGGCAGGACUAAAAGAGCUGUAACACAAACAGGGCUGUAACCCCCACCCCAACACCACUGGCCACAUUGUGGGUGACGAGAAGGAAAGAAGUAGAGAAGAGCUGCAGUUCUUUGGGGAUUGCAAACCUAGGAGCUCCCUGAGCCAGGGCUGUGAAACCUUCUUUAGGGCUCUGCAUUUCCGGGCAUCAUCUCCAAGCUUCCAGGUGCCACCGCAUUCCCUGGUUCCUGAGGCAGAAGCUACUUGUGAUACACUUGGUCUAGCUACAGCCUUGCAGGGAGCCGGAGCCUGUGCCAGUGCCUGGAGCUGCCCACCCCACCACAGCCAGCGUGCCUGGCCGUGCGCGGUGGCCGGACCCCACUUUUGCUUCUUCACACACCCCUCACCACUCUGCGCUUGGCCCAACCUUGGCAGGCAUGGGAUCCGGGUGGUAGCGAAAGCCGAGUGCAGCCUGUCAGGCCCACUGGGUGGAACAGGCUCAGCAGGCCCAAGCAAAACUUGGGCAAAGGUGCCACUGGCCAUAGAGGUUGCUGGCUGGUGAAGCAACACCCUAAGGAACCUGGGAAACAUGUAUGGCUACAUUUAUAUUUUACACUCAGAAUUCUAAUUCAUUUGGAUUUUUUUUUUUUUCUGUGUAGAGGGAAAAGUGUGAAUCCAUUUUUAUCAUUAUCUAAAUGACUGUUCAGUUGUUCCAACAUGCUUUGAUAAAAUGUCCAUAUUUGUCUCUGUGAUUUGAAAUGACUACCUUUAUCGUGUAGUAAAUUUUACUAUGUUCUUGGCUGUUGUAUUUUCUAUUAUAUUCCACUGGUCUGUUAUUUCUUUACCAGUAUAAAUAACAUGGAUUCAAUUGCAG